rnacentral:rRNA from 1 species
AUUUUCCACAAUGGGCGCAAGCCUGAUGGAGCAACGCCGCGUGGGGGAUGACGCAUUUCGGUGUGUAAACCCCUUUUCGCGGGGACGAAGCAAGUGACGGUACCCUCGGAAGAAGGACCGGCUAACUACGUGCCCGCAGCCGCGGUAAGACGUAGGGUCCGAGCGUUGUCCGGAGUUACUGGGCGUAAAGCGCGCGCAGGCGGUGCAGUACAUCGGCGGUGAAAGCCCCCCGCUCAACGGGGGAGGGUCCGUCGAGAUGGCUGGACUGGAGGCAGGGAGAGGCCAGUGGAAUUCCGGGUGUAGUGGUGAAAUGCGUAGAGAUCCGGAGGAACACCGGUGGCGAAGGCGGCUGGCUGGACCUGACCUGACGCUGAGGCGCGAAGGCGUGGGGAGCGAAC